UACGUAGGCAGCAAGCGUUGUUCGGAGUUACUGGGCGUAAAGGGUGCGUAGGCGGCUUUUUAAGUCUGGUGUGAAAUCUCCCGGCUCAACUGGGAGGGUGCGCCGGAUACUGAGGGGCUAGAGUGUGGGAGAGGAAAGUGGAAUUCCUGGUGUAGCGGUGAAAUGCGUAGAUAUCAGGAGGAACACCGGUGGUGUAAACGGCUUUCUGGACCAUAACUGACGCUGGAGGCAACGAAAGCGUGGGUAGCAAACAGG
rnacentral:rRNA from 1 species